UACGUAGGGGGCAAGCGUUAUCCGGAUUUACUGGGUGUAAAGGGAGCGUAGACGGCACGGCAAGCCAGAUGUGAAGGCCCGGGGCUCAACCCCGGGACUGCAUUUGGAACUGCUGAGCUAGAGUGUCGGAGAGGCAAGUGGAAUUCCUAGUGUAGCGGUGAAAUGCGUAGAUAUUAGGAGGAACACCAGUGGCGAAGGCGGCUUGCUGGACGAUGACUGACGUUGAGGCUCGAAAGCGUGGGGAGCAAACAGG
rnacentral:rRNA from 1 species